rnacentral:rRNA from 1 species
GGGUGAGUAAUGCGUAGGAAUCUACCUAGUAGUAUGGAAUAGCCAUUAGAAAUGAUGGGUAAUACUGUAUAAUCCCUGCGGGGGAAAGAUUUAUCGCUAUUAGAUGAGCCUACGUUAGAUUAGCUAGUUGGUAAGGUAAUGGCUUACCAAGGCUAUGAUCUAUAGCUGGUCUGAGAGGACGAUCAGCCACACUGGAACUGAGAUACGGUCCAGACUCCUACGGGAGGCAGCAGUGGGGAAUAUUGGACAAUGGGCGAAAGCCUGAUCCAGCUAUGCCGCGUGAGUGAAGAAGGCCUUCGGGUUGUAAA